rnacentral:rRNA from 1 species
UACGGAGGGUGCAAGCGUUGUCCGGAUUUAUUGGGUUUAAAGGGUGCGUAGGCGGCUUUUUAAGUCCGGGGUGAAAGCCCGUUGCUCAACAACGGAACUGCCCUGGAAACUGGAAGGCUUGAGUACAGACGAGGUUGGCGGAAUGGAAGCUGUAGCGGUGAAAUGCAUAGAUAGCUUCCAGAACCCCGAUUGCGAAGGCAGCUGACUAGGCUGUAACUGACGCUGAGGCACGAAAGCGUGGGGAGCGAACAGG